AGUGAACGCUGGCGGUAGGCCUAACACAUGCAAGUCGAACGGCAACACAGUAAGAGCUUGCUCUUACGGGUGGCGAGUGGCGGACGGGUGAGGAAUACAUCGGAAUCUACUUUUUCGUGGGGGAUAACGUAGGGAAACUUACGCUAAUACCGCAUACGACCUACGGGUGAAAGCAGGGGAUCUUCGGACCUUGCGCGACUGAAUGAGCCGAUGUCGGAUUAGCUAGUUGGCGUGGUAAAGGCCCACCAAGGCGACGAUCCGUAGCUGGUCUGAGAGGAUGAUCAGCCACACUGGAACUGAGACACGGUCCAGACUCCUACGGGAGGCAGCAGUGGGGAAUAUUGGACAAUGGGCGCAAGCCUGAUCCAGCAAUACCGCGUGGGUGAAGAAGGCCUUCGGGUUGUAAAGCCCUUUUGUUGGGAAAGAAAAGCAGCAGGUUAAUACCCCGCUGUUCUGACGGUACCCAAAGAAUAAGCACCGGCUAACUUCGUG
rnacentral:rRNA from 1 species